UAGACGAUGGACCCACCACAAGCUCUAGCAGAGACACAUGCACGCCUCUCUCCACAUCGAGAAGGCUAUUACACUUAGAUCUACAGAAUCUGCCAGAAGUAGAGAGCAUAUACAGCAGCUGGAGUGCCGUUCGCAAUUUUAUCAGGGUCCUUGAACUAAGGAAGUGUCCAAAACUGAAGAUGAUGGCAAUGCCUCGAGAAGGUAAUAAUAUGUCCUUAUGAAUGGUGGGAACCAUGGGAGUGGAAGCACCCUGAGGCAAAGCUUGCAGUCGAGCCUUGUGUGAACAUCAAAGGAUUUGGAGAAGAAAUUCCUGUUCAAGAAUGGCGGGACCAUCACCAUCUACAAAAAAAGAGUAUGGACAGUAUGGCGGACUGAAGACAAUUUCUCUAUAUGGCGGACAACUGACACUUUCUAUGAUAAAAGACAUCAAGCAACAAUCAACAGAAGAAAUUACGUAUUGUCUCACGGACAUCUACCCCGUCCAACAGCCAAGACCUAGAUCAGUUUGACAUCCACACGUACAUAUGUUCUUCAGCUCACUGCUGCUUCUCUCUGGACAAUAUCUUUGGACCGUGUGGAUAGCUUGCAGAGGGAGGAAGCUCACGCCGAUAGUUGAGCGCUGGUUGCUGCCUUUCUUAAAUGAAACUCUUGAACCAUUUGGUGUUUCACAAAUUUUAUGGAUUCUGGGGGCACCUUUCCCAGUAUAUACUGAUUAUGCUUUGGAUAGGCCUGCAUCUGUUAUGGAUCAUGCUUUGGAUAUGCCCGCACCUAAUACGGCAUUGUCUCAUCCCAUUUUACGGUUUAGACCCCAUUUUCGAGGCAGCUAUCUUCAUCCUCACCAAUAGCUGAUGUAUCGAUCUGGAAUGGUGAUGUGCCAUUCAAAACUUUGCUUGCUGCUGCUGGGAGAGAUUUUCGGAUCGUGGAUAGAUUAAAAGACAAGGAAGUUGGAGGUAGCAAACUGCUGCUUAUGUGAUAUAGUGAUGAGGAGAUUCUGAACCAUUUGCUCUGCAGAUAUAGGGCGUGGUUUUAUGAAGAACUUGAAACAUAUGUUGACUGUUUGCCUGCUCUGUUAAGGACUGUAACACUCAAAGAGUAUUCUCCUAACACUCAAGAGUAUUCUCCGGAAACGUCAGCUAUCGGUGUGCAGAGUGUGUAGAACUCUGUUGAAUCAAUCCAUUGUUCUUCUAAAAAUUCUUUCUGUGUUUUAAGAAUUUUAACUAUGCCAGACAGAGAUGCAAAUGCUGUUCAGUCGGUCAAUAUGUUGACGUGACGAGAAUUGGAGUUCCAUCAUAUCUGCCUUUGCCAA